UUUGAGGGCUUCAUUUCUCUAAAGGA
rnacentral:piRNA from 1 species